rnacentral:piRNA from 1 species
CCUCUAGCAUCACAAGUAUUAGAGGC